AUCCUCAGGAAAAAAGCUUGAAGGGACAAUGUCCGAAUCGCUUGGGGCAGCUCCGUCAACUGGCCUUCCGGUCAUGCCUUUGGCCCAUACGGCCCGAUUGCGAUCCGCCACCGUUGUGGAACUGGAAAUCCAGCGGCUGGUCCAGCUGACACCGAGCUGCGUUGCCCACUUACCCGAGGUCCUCUACCGUGUCACGACGGACAGCAUCAUAUCAAAUAUGAUUGAUCCAGUGAAAGCCCUGGCAUCCUUUUUUCCGCCAGCAUCCGCUUCACCCCCAACACGGCUCAAUUGGACGACGACCUCUACGACACGCUGGAGAGUCUGAUUGAAUUCAUCGAUCACGGUCGUUUCCGGCGUUCUUCCGUUACCGAAUGGUGGCCACUUCGUCCAGCUGCGGAGUUAUCCAGUGCGUUUCCAACCCGAAAUCCUGCGACUAGCUCGGCCGCUAAACAGAUGUCAGCAACUUCAACGACUAUUUCAUCAACAAAUACGGUGACGAGGUUACAUGAGUUCCAGACAGUCAGGCGCAAUAUAACACGCUCCACGGCUGCCUACUCUCUGGUCGGUUUCUUCCUACAGAUCAAGGAUCGCCACUAUGGCAACACAUGAUCGAAGGCUAUAAGGGCAUCACAUUAUUCACAUCGAUUUUGGCAUCAUGUUUGAAGUUCCCCCGGUGGCAAUUUAGGUGAUCCCAGGCCCAGUUUCAUGAAAUUUGUCAAUUUUUCGACAUUUUUAAAAGUUGCCUUUCCGAUACAUUUUCAAAUUUCAAUUUUUCCAUCAGGAUUCGAUGUAUCGCGAGGUCCAUCAUUGUGUCUCUUGUCUGGUUGAUGCCCGACACCCGACAGCCCCGCUUACGGGAGGAGACCCUCAUGUUCCUGUAGUCCCGUUUCUUGCACAUGGACGACCGCGAAGCCGCCAACCAGCAAACCACAAUCAACAUUGUCCGCUCGUUGUUACUCAACAUCCUUACCAGAACCUAAACGUCAGGAAAUUAUAUGAUUUGAAGGACUCAUUUGCUUUACUUGUAAAUUGAUAGAGCAUAUAGGUUUUUUUUUAAUGUAAUGUGUUUCACUAUUCCCUGUUGUACGUCGUUUGUUGAGUCUGAUUUGAUAAGUCAAUAGAAACAAGCCUU